GACGAAGGUGGCGAGCGUUGUUCGGAAUCAUUGGGCUUAAAGGGCGCGUAGGCGGCUCAUCAAGUGUCUUGUGAAAUCCCUCGGCUUAACCGAGGAAUUGCUGGGCAUACUGUUGAGCUUGAGGCAGGUAUGGGCGAGUGGAACUCUUGGUGGAGCGGUGGAAUGCGUAGAUAUCAAGAGGAACGCCGGUGGUGAAGACGAUUCGCUGGGCCUGUCCUGACGCUGAGGCGCGAAAGCCAGGGGAGCAAACGGG
rnacentral:rRNA from 1 species